UACGAAGGGGGCUAGCGUUGCUCGGAAUCACUGGGCGUAAAGGGUGCGUAGGCGGGUCUUUAAGUCAGGGGGGAAGUCCUGGAGCUCAACUCCAGAACUGCCUUUGAUACUGAAGAUCUUGAGUUCGGGAGAGGUGAGUGGAACUGCGAGUGUAGAGGUGAAAUUCGUAGAUAUUCGCAAGAACACCAGUGGCGAAGGCGACUUCCUGGCCUGUUCUUGACGCUGAGGCGCGAAAGCUAGGGGAGCAAACGGG
rnacentral:rRNA from 1 species